UACGUAGGGCGCAAGCGUUAUCCGGAAUUAUUGGGCGUAAAGGGCUCGUAGGCGGUUUGUCGCGUCUGCCGUGAAAGUCCGGGGCUCAACUCCGGAUCUGCGGUGGGUACGGGCAGACUAGAGUGAUGUAGGGGAGACUGGAAUUCCUGGUGUAGCGGUGAAAUGCGCAGAUAUCAGGAGGAACACCGAUGGCGAAGGCAGGUCUCUGGGCAUUAACUGACGCUGAGGAGCGAAAGCAUGGGGAGCGAACAGGA
rnacentral:rRNA from 1 species